rnacentral:rRNA from 1 species
CCGUUAGAUGUUCUGGGCCGCACGCGUGCUACAAUGGCAAAAUCAACGAGUAUACCUUUGUCGACAGACAUGGGAAAUCUUUUCAGUUCUUGCCGUGAUGGGGCUAGACCCUUGUAAUUGUUGGUCUCCAACGAGGAAUUCUUAGUAAACGCAAGUCAUUAUCUUGCAUUGAUUACGUCCCUGCCCUUUGUACACACCGCCCGUCGCACCUACCGAUUGAAUGGUCCGGCGAAGUCUUCGGACUGGCAGCAUGUAUGUGCUUGCCGGGAAGUUGAGUAAACCUUACCAUUUAGAGGAAGGUGAAGUCGUAACA